rnacentral:rRNA from 1 species
AAGGCAGCCCCCUGGGCCAAUACUGACGCUCAUGCACGAAAGCGUGGGGAGCAAACAGGAUUAGAUACCCUGGUAGUCCACGCCCUAAACGAUGUCAACUAGUUGUUGGGGAUUCAUUGCCUUGGUAACGUAGCUAACGCGUGAAGUUGACCGCCUGGGGAGUACGGUCGCAAGAUUAAAACUCAAAGGAAUUGACGGGGACCCGCACAAGCGGUGGAUGAUGUGGAUUAAUUCGAUGCAACGCGAAAAACCUUACCUACCCUUGACAUGGUCGGAAUCCUGCUGAGAGGUGGGAGUGCUCGAAAGAGAACCGGCGCACAGGUGCUGCAUGGCUGUCGUCAGCUCUUGUCGUGAGAUGUUGGGUUAAGUCCCGCAACGAGCGCAACCCUUGUCCUUAGUUGCUACGCAAGAGCACUCUAAGGAGACUGCCGGUGACAAACCGGAGGAAGGUGGGGAUGACGUCAAGUCCUCAUGGCCCUUAUGGGUAGGGCUUCACACGUCAUACAAUGGUCGGAACAGAGGGUUGCCAAGCCGCGAGGGGGAGCUAAUCCCAGAAAACCGAUCGUAGUCCGGA